rnacentral:misc_RNA from 1 species
GAUAGAAGGGCUGUGAAUAUUACCAUAAAUAGUAUUGGCACUGAGCUUACCCGGGAUGAUCGAAGGAAGUUGUAUUCCAAUUUUGGCUUGCUUUAUCCCUAUGGUCAUGAGGAACUUGCAAUCUGUGAGGAUAUUGAUCAGGUUCGUGGUGCCAUGGAAAAAUACCCUCCCUACCAGUCAAUUUUUUCCAAGCUAUCAUAUGGUGAGAGCCAGAUGCUUG